GUCAGUGUGACAUAGUGGUUUGAGCAUUGGACUGUGACUUUAGAGGCAAGGGUUCAAAUCCCUGCUCAGCCA